CGCGUAGGUGGUAGUGUAAGUCUGGGGUGGAAUGCCGGGGCUUAACCCUGGAAUUGCCUUGGAAACUGCAUUACUUGAGUCAGUGAGGGGAGGGUAGAAUUCCUGGUGUAGCGGUGAAAUGCGUAGAUAUCAGGAGGAAGGCCUGUGGCGAAGGCGGCCCUCUGGUGCUGGACUGACACUGAGGCGCGAAAGCGUGGGGAGCAAACAGGAUUAGAUACCCUGGUAGUCCACGCCCUAAACGGUGGGCACUAGGUGUAGGGCUCGUAAGGGUUCUGUGCCGAAGGGAAACCAUUAAGUGCCCCGCCUGGGGAGUACGGCCGCAAGGUUGAAA
rnacentral:rRNA from 1 species